rnacentral:rRNA from 1 species
UACGUAGGGUGCGAGCGUUAAUCGGAAUUACUGGGCGUAAAGCGUGCGCAGGCGGUGGCUCAAGCCAGGCGUGAAAUCCCCGGGCUUAACCUGGGAAUGGCGUUUGGGACUGGGUCGCUAGAGUGUGGCAGAGGGAGGUGGAAUUCCACGUGUAGCAGUGAAAUGCGUAGAGAUCGGGAGGAACAUCUGUGGCGAAGGCGACUACCUGGACCAGCACUGACACUGAGGCACGAAAGCGUGGGGAGCAAACAGGG